rnacentral:rRNA from 1 species
UACGGAGGUGCAAGCGUUACUCGGAAUCACUGGGCGUAAAGAGCGUGUAGGCGGAUAGAUAAGUCAGAAGUGAAAUCCAAUAGCUUAACUAUUGAACUACUUUGAAACUGUCUAUCUAGAGUAUGGGAGAGGUAGAUGGAAUUUCCUGGUGUAGGGGUAAAAUCCCGUAGAGAUCAGAAGGAAUACCGAUUGCGAAGGCGAUCUACUGGAACAUAACUGACGCUGAGACGCGAAAGCGUUGGGAGCAAGCAGG